UGGAACAAUGAGACCACCCAGGCCCACCUUCAGUAGCUCAAGAACUACUCUGGCAGGCCCUGUGGUUCCUGCUCAUCAUACACGUUGCAUCAUAACAAAGGACAACCCGACAGCCCUCCAUCUCCUAUGACAACACAUCUCCUCAUGCAACAAUGACCAAUGUCAACUACUGAUGCCCUACUCCUUCAAACUCAUCCACCACACUCAUGUAACAUCAUGAGGUUGGCAGUUGUUGCAAGUUGUGCAUAGGGAACCAAAGUAUAUCCCAGGGAAGACUCCAACAGGGGCUGCUUCACCACACAGCUGUCAGAAUGGAGAGGGAGUCAGGCAGGUGCUCUUUGUGAGCUUGGCUAGGAAGAAUUAUUGCCGGGCUCCUCGUUCCCAAAACGGGCACCGUCGAUGGCUACUGUCUAUGAAAGUUAUAAGCCUGAGGGGAAGUCGCCAUCUUUGAGCUCACCCAUUCCACGACAGACACCACCAAUAAUCAUUCCGUAUGGCAGCUAUCAGAAUGGAAGGAACAGAGAGCCGGGGCCUCUCCAUCAGCCUAAGGGAACGUCACCAUCAUCAGGCUCACCUGUUCCAGAAAAGACAUCAUCAACAGCCAAUCCCUAUGGCAAAUGCCAGAAAGGAAUGGACAGGGAGCCAGGCCCAAUCCAUGAGUCUGUGUGGAAGCAACCGGCAUUGGGUUACUGCAUAGAACGGCUUCGAUCACUGAUAGUUCCACCUCAUAGUUAUCAGGUGGGUGUGGAGAAAGAUCCAGGUCUUAUCCAUGAGCCUGUAUGGAACCAAGCACCAAUGGACUCCUCUGGAACACAACCAGUUCCACCUGUGGUCAUUCCACCACGCAGGUGUCGGAAGUGGGUGGAUACACCUCUGGGCCCUCUCCACGAGCCCAUCUGGACUCAACCAUCCUUGGGUUCUUCCCUCUUCCUGCAGGCUCCAGCAGUGCCCAUUGACUUUGGCAGCUCUCACAACUGGAAGCGGACACAGUACAGCCACCUCUAUGCACCAGGCUCCUCACAACCAGGACAGACUCCAUCAAUUGCUUCUGUAUCUGGCAGCUGUCAGAAGGGGAAGGAAAGAGCAUUAGGGCCACUUCACGAGCCUCUUUGGGACCAACCGCCACUGGGGUCUUCCCUCCUACUGCAGACUCCACCAGAACCCAUUGACUUUGGCAGCUCUCACAAGUGGAAUGGGAGACUGCAGGACCCGCCAUACGCAGCUGACUCCUCUCAGAAAGAUCUGGUUCCUUCAGUGGCCAUUGCACAUGGCAGCCGCCAGAAGUGGAGGGAGAGGCAGCUGGGCCCACUUCAUGAGCCGCUCUGGGACCAGCCACCACUGGGCUCCUCCUUCCUACUUCAGACUCCACCAGAGCCCAUUGAAUUUGAUGAUUAUCACCAUGGGUGGUGAGACUGCCUGACUAUGUCAAUGGACCUGGCUCCUCACAACCAGAGCAGACUUCACCAGGGACCAUUCCACACUGUAGGUGUCACCUGGGCCCACUCCAUGAGCCUCCCUGGUGUUGGCUGCCUCUGGGCUCCUCCUGCCUAGAACGGGCUUCAUCUGUGGGUGUCAUACCUGAAUGGACUCCACCAGUGAGCAUUUCAGCUGCGAGCCAACGGAAUGGAAGGGAGAGAACCUAGAACUUCUCCACAAACCUGGCUGGAACCAGAACCUGUGGGACUGCUUGCUCCUAGAACCAACUCCAUCAAUGCCUAUUCCAUCUGGUGCCUUUAAAAACAACGAACAUACCUGAGCCUUGCA